rnacentral:rRNA from 1 species
GUACACUCCUACGGGAGGCAGCAGUGGGGAAUUUUGAACAAUGGGCGAAAGCCUGAUCCAGCAAUGCCGCGUGUGUGAAGAAGGCCUUCGGGUUGUAAAGCACUUUUGUCCGGAAAGAAAUCCUUGGCUCUAAUACAGUCGGGGGAUGACGGUACCGGAAGAAUAAGCACCGGCUAACUACGUGCCAGCAGCCGCGGUAAUACGUAGGGUGCGAGCGUUAAUCGGAAUUACUGGGCGUAAAGCGUGCGCAGGCGGUUUGCUAAGACCGAUGUGAAAUCCCCGGGCUCAACCUGGGAACUGCAUUGGUGACUGGCAGGCUAGAGUAUGGCAGAGGGGGGUAGAAUUCCACGUGUAGCAGUGAAAUGCGUAGAGAUGUGGAGGAAUACCGAUGGCGAAGGCAGCCCCCUGGGCCAAUACUGACGCUCAUGCACGAAAGCGUGGGGAGCAAACAGGAUUAGAAACCCUGGUAGUCCCA